rnacentral:rRNA from 1 species
AUACGGAUUAGAUACCCUGGUAGUCCACGCCGUAACGGUGGGCACUAGGUGUGGGGGACAUUCCACGUUCUCCGUGCCGAAGCUAACGCAUUAAGUGCCCCGCCUGGGGAGUACGGCCGCAAGGCUAAAACUCAAAGGAAUUGACGGGGGCCCGCACAAGCGGCGGAGCAUGCGGAUUAAUUCGAUGCAACGCGAAGAACCUUACCUGGGUUUGACAUAUGCCGGAAAGCUGCAGAGAUGUAGCCCCCGCAAGGUCGGUAUACAGGUGGUGCAUGGCUGUCGUCAGCUCGUGUCGUGAGAUGUUGGGUUAAGUCCCGCAACGAGCGCAACCCUCGUUCUAUGUUGCCAGCACGUUAUGGUGGGGACUCAUAGGAGACUGCCGGGGUCAACUCGGAGGAAGGUGGGGAUGACGUCAAGUCAUCAUGCCCCUUAAGUCCAGGGCUUCACGCAUGCUACAAUGGCUGGUACAAAGGGCUGCGAUACCGCAAGGUGGAGCGAAUCCCAAAAAGCCAGUCUCAGUUCGGAUUGGGGUCUGCAACUCGACCCCAUGAAGUCGGAGUCGCUAGUAAUCGCAGAUCAGCAACGCUGCGGUGAAUACGUUCCCGGGCCUUGUACACACCGCCCGUCAAGUCAUGAAAGUCGGUAACACCCGAAGCCGGUGGCCCAACCCCUUGUGGGAGGGAGCCGUCUAAGGUGGGACUGGCGAUUAGGACUAAGUCGUAACAAGGUAGC